AUUUAUAUAAUAUAUUUAGUAUAAUUGACUUCCAAUCAAAAAGUUUAAUUUCAUUUAAUAUAAAUA
rnacentral:tRNA from 1 species